GGGGGUAUAGCUCAGUGGUAGAGCAUUUGACUGCAUAGCAAGAGGUCCCCGGUUCAAAUCCGGGUGCCCCCU
rnacentral:tRNA from 1 species